rnacentral:rRNA from 1 species
AACGAACGCUGGCGGCAUGCCUAACACAUGCAAGUCGAACGAGAUCUUCGGGUCUAGUGGCGCACGGGUGCGUAACGCGUGGGAAUCUGCCCUUUGGUUCGGAAUAACAGUUGGAAACGACUGCUAAUACCGGAUGAUGACGAAAGUCCAAAGAUUUAUCGCCGGAGGAUGAGACCGCGUAGGAUUAGCUAGUUGGUGUGGUAAAGGCGCACCAAGGCGACGAUCCUUAGCUGGUCUGAGAGGAUGAGCAGCCACACUGGGACUGAUAAACGGCCCAGACUCCUACGGGAGGCAGCAGUGGGGAAUAUUGGACAGUGGGCGAAAGCCUGAUCCAUCAAUGCUGCGUGAGUGAUGGAGGCUUUAGGGUUGUAAAGCUCUUUUACCCGGGAUGAUAAUGACAGUACCGGGAGAAUAAGCUCCGGCUAACUCCGUGCCAGCCGCCGCCGUAA